UACGGGGGGAGCAAGCGUUGUUCGGAUUACUGGCGUAAGGGCGCGUAGGCGGUCAGCACAAGUCAGUUGUGAAAUCUCCGGGCGUUAACUCGGAAAGGUCAAACUGAUACUGUGCGACUAGAGUGCAGAAGGGGCAACUGGAAUUCUCGGUGUAGCGGUGAAAUGCGUAGAUAAUCGAGAGGAACACCUGCGGCGAAGGCGGGUUGCUGGGCUGACACGUGACGCUGAUGCGCGAAGCCAGGGAGCGAACGGGAUAAGAGGUACCCGGUAGUCCAAGACCGAAUCGUCUCCUGC
rnacentral:rRNA from 1 species